rnacentral:rRNA from 1 species
UAAUAUAAGAGUUUGAUCCUGGCUCAGGAUGAACGCUGGCGGCGUGCUUAACACAUGCAAGUCGAACGAAGAGGAUAAGAAAGAGCGCUUCGGCAGGAUUUUUUA